rnacentral:rRNA from 1 species
GAAUUUUGGACAAUGGGCGAAAGCCUGAUCCAGCAAUGCCGCGUGCAGGAUGAAGGCCUUCGGGUUGUAAACUGCUUUUGUACGGAACGAAAAUCUUUGGGUUCUUACCCUGGAGUCCUUACUGUACCGUAAGAAUAAGCACCGGCUAACUACGUGCCAGCAGACGCGUGCAUACGUAGGGUGCAAGCGUUAAUCGGAAUUUCUGGGCGUAAAGCGUGCUCAGGCGGUUUUGUAAGACAGAGGUGAAAUCCCCGGGCUCAACCUGGGAACUGCCUUUGUGACUGCAAGGCUAGAGUACGGCAGAGGGGGGUGGAAUUCCGCGUGUAGCAGUGAAAUGCGUAGAUAUGCGGAGGAACACCGAUGGCGAAGGCAACCCCCUGGGCCUGUACUGACGCUCAUGCACGAAAGCGUGGGGAGCAAACA